rnacentral:rRNA from 1 species
GGAUAACAGGCUUAUGGUUUUUGAGAGUCCUCAUUGACAAGACCGUUUGGCACCUCGAUGUCGGCUCAUCACAUCCUGGGGCUGAAGGCGGUCCCAAGGGUUAGGCUGUUCGCCUAUUAAAGUGGUACGCGAGCUGGGUUCAGACCGGCGUGAGCCAGGUCGGUCCCUAUCUGCUGUGGGCGUUGCAAACUUGAGAGGAGUCAAUCUUAGUACGAGAGGAUUGGAUUGGACUGACCCCUGGUGAUUCUGUUGUUCCGCUAGGAGCACCGCAGAGUAGCUACGUCGGGCAGGGAUAACAGCUGAAAGCAUCUAAGCAGGAAGCCCCCCUCGAGAUCAGGUUUGCUAGUCUUUGACGAGAGACCCCUGGAAGACUACCAGGUUGAUAGGCCGCAAGUGUAAGGAUUGAGAUGUCCUCAGCUGAGCGGUACUAACGGUCGAAGGUUUGAUCUC